GAGAUGUUGGGUUAAGUCCCGUAACGAGCGCAACCCUUGUCCCUAGUUGCCAGCACAUAAUGGUGGGAACUCUAGGGAGACUGCCGGUGACAAACCGGAGGAAGGUGGGGACGACGUCAAGUCAUCAUGGCCCUUACGGCCUGGGCUACACACGUGCUACAAUGGGCAGUACAGAGGGCAGCGAGGUCGCGAGGCCAAGCAAAUCCCUUAAAACUGUUCGUAGUCCGGAUUGGAGUCUGCAACUCGAC
rnacentral:rRNA from 1 species